CUUGCUCCCUUAGGUCAGCGGCGGACGGGUGAGUAACACGUGGGUAACCUGCCUGUAAGACUGGGAUAACUCCGGGAAACCGGGGCUAAUACCGGAUGCUUGAUUGAACCGCAUGGUUCAAUYAUAAAAGGKGGCUUUUAGCUACCACUURCAGAUGGACCCGCGGCGCAUUAGCUAGUUGGUGAGGUAACGGCUCACCAAGGCGACGAUGCGUAGCCGACCUGAGAGGGUGAUCGGCCACACUGGGACUGAGACACGGCCCAGACUCCUACGGGAGGCAGCAGUAGGGAAUCUUCCGCAAUGGACGAAAGUCUGACGGAGCAACGCCGCGUGAGUGAUGAAGGUUUUCGGAUCGUAAAACUCUGUUGUUAGGGAAGAACAAGUACCGUUCGAAUAGGGCGGUACCUUGACGGUACCUAACCAGAAAGCCACGGCUAACUACGUGCCAGCAGCNCGCGGUAAUACGUAGGUGGGAAGCGUUGUCCGGAAUUAUUGGGCGUAAAGCGCGCGCAGGCGGUUUCUUAAGUCUGAUGUGAAAGCCCCCGGCUCAACCGGGGAGGGUCAUUGGAAACUGGGGAACUUGAGUGCAGAAGAGGAGAGUGGAAUUCCACGUGUAGCGGUGAA
rnacentral:rRNA from 1 species